GGACCCUUACGGUUAGAGGAUCGAUCGCUCCGUGUCGACGAGGUGGGUCUUCGUCGGGGCGUAGUCUCCGAGGAAUUCCCGGGUGGAGGGCUGGACGGAAGAAAUCUGAUCCAGUUUUGGCCUCUAAUUCUGCUCCUCCGAGUGCUUCGACAAUUGAGGGUUUUAUGGCGGGUGCUUCCUUAGUUCAAGGUUUCGCUGUUCAUGAAAGGCCGGGUUUGAUUCCUUCUGAUCCGAGUAGUUUUGAUGCUAAUUGCUCUUCUAAGAAUCCUAUUUUCUGCAAUAUUGUUCCUUCGCAGAUUGGUGUUCUUGGACAAAAGUAAGAUCCUAAAUUUAGGGGUCUUCUUUGGUGAUUUGGUAAAGCUUAAUUCAGAAACCGGAUUCAGGAGUCAUAGUAUGGGGCUCAUAUUUGUUUUAAUUUAACAAGUACUUGUUAAAGUACUUUACUGAAAACGGCCAAACACUUUUUUACUGAAGCAUGUACAGCAGCUAAAAUUAGGUUUUCUUUUACAGUAUUUGUUAAAGUACCUUGAAGUCAGCAUGUCUUAAAUCAGUUCAGAUUUAAGAUUCAACAAGGACACUGUUUAUUAACAGAUCAUAUGUGAAUGGUUGACUUGUGGAUGCUAUUUCUGUAACUGUUUUGGGCAUCAAGAUAAAAAUAUUGUGGGAGAAGGCACAGAUUCAGGACGGAAUGAAAGAUCAAAGGCACACAUAAUUGGACAUGUUCUGAGGCUGUCAUUGGAAAUGAUGGUGCCGUUGCUGAGGAUCUGAUGAAUAAGGCAAUUGGCAAAGGCAUGCAGAACAAAAAUCUUCUGUGACUGUUACUGUGAAUGGUAGGAUUGCUUCUACAGAGUUAAUGAGCAAGCUAGUUGGAAAUGAUGGCACUUGGUGCCGGAAAAUAGAUUCUAGAUUGUCUGAUCCUAGUCUUCCAGCCUUGGAUGAAGUUAUUGAAUAUCAUACUUUUGAUCCUGGUGUUCAUGAAUCUUCUCAGCCUAAUUACUCCACGUUUGUUUUUCAACUGAAAACUAAUAGGCUACCUGAACUGAGUUUGACCUUUUGCUUCCUGAACUGUUGGAUCUAGUACAAUCAACAAAGCAAGAACCUGGGUAACAUAGUCCAUAAUGAAUGCCUUGAACUAAAUGCCCAUGUGACAUUUAUGAUAUUGCAACAUGGUUUAAGUUGGUGAUAUUUAUAUAAUUUGAUUUUAUCUGUUCUUAAAAUUUUACUCCAUUGUGUUGUCGUUAGCUUUGAGUAAUGUGUUUCUGGUGACAAUCUUCAAAGGGUUGAGCUUUCUGCUGUUUGUUUUUAUACUCUUCCUUUUCUCCAAAUAAUUUUCAAGACGUAAAGAUCUGGCAGGACUAACCUAUUUUUCUGUUUUUUUUUUUUUUCUGUUUUCAUGCAUAACCAUAUGCAUAGGAGGCUGGCUAGCUACUAGUGAGACCUGCAUUUUUCGAUUCAUGCUUCGACCUUACUUGAUCUAUUUCAUAGUACUUUGGUGGAUGUUUAUCCUGCUUAUUCCCUGAUUUUAGUACAAAAUAUAAUCCUGACUUGUAUGUGAAUCCAAUCCUUGUCAGCCUCUGAUAUGUUUACGUUACGUGUGAAGUUAGUAGGAAAAUACAUCAAUAUCGGAGGACUGUUUUAAUACAAAAUACAAUCAAAUUAGGACCAGCUUGAGUUCAGAGUUGACUAGUUUCUCUGAGUCUUUGUUGAGUCAUAAUUGAAUCAAUUUUGGUCUUAAAGUUGUUCUUCGGCCUAUUAUGGGUCUGGUUUGUUUUUGCCAUUCACUGGUACCAUUCACACUAUGGUACUGCUACAGCAAGUGAAUAGUAAAUAUGUUUUUGUACUUUGUCAUGAUUUGGAAAUCAGUUGAUAGCAAAUUUGCUUAUCUUCUACUUUUAUUCAUAGGCUGAGAAUAUGCUUGUCAUAAAUUUAACCGAUUGUGGUCUUAAAGUUGUUCUUAGGUAUUAUAGCAGGUUUGUUUUAGCCAUUCUCUGGCACCAUUCACACGACAGUACUGCUACUCCAAGUGAAUAGUAAUCGGUGUACCAUAUAGUGAAUUCUGUGAAUUUUUGUUAAAGGAAGAUUUUGUCUGGCUGAGUAAUUUUCUCUCUAGUGUUGUGCCUCCUCUGCUUCCCCCUUCUCUUUUGAUGAUUUCUCUUGUUGCUCAGAUCCUCUUCUCUUUAAUAUCUGAUUCCCAAUUGACAUAUUGAAACCUGAUUUGUUAGAUUUGAUUCCUGAGAUUCUAUUACAUCUUUUUCCCUUGAAUUACUCAGCCUUCUGGAUAUUCGGUUAACCUACUUCACAUUUAACUUGCGUAAAUAUUCAACAUUGUUGAUCUUCCUAUUUGUCAGCAAUUUGUCUUUAUAUCAUGAUAAUCUCUCUCUACUGCAUAGAGGAGCCGUUUCCUUGAAAAUGCAAACCUUAGUAAAGCACUAAACUUGAUGUUCGUGCUAUUGUUGUUGUUUUAUUCAGAUCAUGCCAUGUUUUCUAGAGAAUAUUGGCUUGAUUUCAAUCCUCCAAUAUGGUGUUAUGUUCUCCGAAGACAAAUAUAUGAACAAGGCAUGCCAUUAAGUCAGCUAUCUUUUCUUGAGAAAGGUGAACCGUCAUGUUACAAGAUAGUUCCAGAAAGCAUUUUUCUAAAAAUGAAUUUGGUUCUAAAACAUUACAUACUUCUCAAAUGCACUCAGUGUUAUAUUUUUUAGUUAGAUGUACAUGAAAUUAAGAUAAUAUAUUUCUCAUUCAGUGUGACUCCUACCUGUGAGGCUUUUAUUGUUAUAAAAUCAAUUUAUAUGGUGUAUAACUGUUGUGUGUGUGGGGGUGAGAGAGAGAGAGAGAGAGAGAGAGAGAGAGAGUGUGUGUGUGUUGAGCUAGAAGGCUCUUUAUUGGUAGCUUUCUGUCAUGAAAUUAUAUUUGCUAUGAUUUUAUGCACUAGAUUUGUUUAUUGUUCCUUUGGUUUUUACUCUAUGCAUUUGCUAAAAACGAUAGUUCGGUGCAUGAGACUCAUAUCAUUAAGAGUACAAAAUUGAUUUUGGUUGGGUGGUUUGAGAGCUGUAACAUCUUUUGAAGUGUUUUGUUUCAUAUGCAUAAUUUGUGCAACAUUUAUACACUGUUACAUCAAUAUCAACUUUUUAUUCAUACGAGUGUGUAGCUAUAUAUAUUAUUUCCAAUCAUAAAUUCACAUAAGAAUGUAUUACACUAGUACAUGCCGUGAAUUCAUAUAACUGCUGCUAGUGGAAUCAAGUCAUAUCCUCUUUUAUUGUAGUUUAACUUUUUCUGGAUGAUGGCAAUUCAUGUGUUAAUCAUGGAGCUCCAUUGUUUUUUAAGCCACUUAUGGAAACUUGUCAAUGAAGACUAAUAAUUUUCUUGUUAUUUGUAAUAAGCUCUAUUGUUCAGGCAAAUUAGAAAUUACAAAUGAUAUUUUGCAUUACUGAAGGUGACUAGACUUUUCUAUGCUUUUGUAAGUUUAGGCAACAAGGAUUCCCGUGGUUACCUUGUGUCCACUCAGAGUGGACACCUGUCGCUCACUUCUUUUAGCCUAUUAUGACACUUUAGAAUCUUAUUUGCUGCAGCAAGUGCCUUUUUUUCUCUUUGCUAAUUUUGCAAAAUAAGGUUCUAAACUAUGCUUCAAGGUAUGCUUUGCCGUGUUGUGUGCUUAAAACAUCAACAAUAUGCUAUUGUAACUAAACAAAGGUCAUGGCCACUUGAGCUGUCACUUAGAAUCUCUUGGCCAAAUUUCAUGUCUAUCUUGCAGCCACUAUAUUAAAUCACUUUCCUGCAAAUAAAGCUUCCCUUCCAUAAAUACCAAUCAUUCAAGUCUUUUACUUUUGCAAACUAACUUGGGACUGUAGCAGUUGUUUCCUUGUGUUUUCUACUGGUUUCUCUACAUCAAUUCACCGGAGUAAAGGUUCUGCCCUUUUAAACUGAAAUGAUGGUCGACAAUGUUGGUUUGAAGGUAUUGUAUCUAUGGGUGACUGCUUAUAUUUUCACCUUCUUGCUUUUCAUAAGGAAAUUGCAGAAUCCUUGGUUUUAGCUUUUUGUUUCUGUUGAGUUAUCGGAAUAUGCAGAUACAGCAUAAGGAAAGUUGGUGAAGUACACAUAAAACCAACGAGUAAUAAAUGUGUAUAUUUGGGUCAUACACAGGACCAGUUGUUUCCUUGUAUAUUUCACUCAUUACAUGAAGUCACCGGAUUAAAGUUUUUGUCAUUCUAAAUUGAAACGAAGAUGCAACACGAGGAAAUUUGGUGAACUCCACCUAAGACCAUCAAGUACUAAAUGUGUAAAUUUGGCUGGAAUUAUUUUCAAACCAGUGGUCAAGAGGAAGAAUUAAACUGGCCGAGCCUCUUCAAGACACAGUUCACAAGAGGUUGGAAAACUCAAACUGCUAUCUUAGUCAUGACAUAGCAGAUGAUCUCGGCAGUAAAUAAUAACUAGUAUUUACAUUGCACUCAAAUCUUUCUUUGCUCUUCUUACGCGACGACAAUGAAGGGAAGAGAAAAGGAGAAGAAAGCUAGCAUCGCCCAAAAGAAAAAAGCUAAGACGAGGAGAACUGGAAGUUGGACCUGAUGUUUGAAUGACUACAGGUGAAGAGUGGUGUCCACAUCUGGUUCGUUGCCAGACACCGGGCGGUGUGAAGUCGUCUGAUUGGGCCACAAGCCCAUUGACAGUGAGAUCUCGAGGGCCUGCAAGUCUGUGUGAUCACCAUGGUCGUCGAGCCAACACGAUGGUGGAGGACCACGGAUUGGCCUGGAUGGACGAACUAGAUCGGGAUGGACGAACCACACGGGUUGGGCACACUGAGCAUUCGAGUUUGGCCUCUCCCCAUGAGAGAAUGCCCGCUGCUGUUCCCUUUCUUCUCUCAUUUCUUUGAGUCUCUGCAGCUGUCUGAAUCUCUCCUGCAACAGAGCAAUGGAGGUCGGCUUGUUGUUCUGCCUCCCCAUGAGUCGGUAGUGGACUCGGAAUGCCAAUUCGGAGCAGGUGGAGCUGAGGGAGGCUGAGGUCUACAGGGGAGAGGAGAAUCCAGAGAGGGGAUGCAAAGUCCAAGAAGGAAAGGGUUUGUGGGCUAUCUAAGGAGUUAGGAUGGUGGAGGACGCGAGCAGGACCAGAGCCACUUUUCAAAGGCACAUAAAAGCGGGAGAGCAGUCCAAGGAUGCAUGGAGGUUAGCAUUUGGAUGCGAGCUUGCAGAGAAUAUAAGAUGAAUGUGGCUGCUGGACCCAGGAUCCAGAAUUGAAGUCAGUCGAAGCCAUGAAUAAAGGACUGGACCCUGGUUGAAAAGCUAGCACAACGUUGCUGUUGUGCAUCAGGUUCUUUGUAGUGCAUGCUUAGUCCUGGGAAUCUGAACCCAUAGCAGAUCCAAUGAGAAAAAGAAAAGUUCCAACUGAUGCCAUGAAAGGUAAUUUUAUGAGUGCCAGAUGAACCGGGGCCACGAUCGGCUGCACACAUAUGGUUGUUGUUCUCCUCUGCCCGAUUCCUUCAUUUCGAGUUCAUCCCAGGGUUCAUGCGGAUGGUGCCACUACUUGCUGCAAGCUCAAACUUGCAGCUGCAGGAGGAGGGUGGUUUGAAUUUGGUAAUGAUAUGGAAAUCAAUCAGCAUCACCAGGCCUGCUCUGCACUGCACUGCACUGCACUGCACUGCAGCGCAGGAGGGUUUCUUCAUGCAUCUCCGUGACUGCUAAUCCAUUCAAUGUAUAUCACCAAAGCAAUACUCUGGUUUGUUGUUUUCAAUGAAUUUGAGUUGCUAGACUUAGCAGAGUCUGAUUGCUGAUGGGGACAAAAUUAGAGGUUGGAAGGGAAUGAUUAUUGGGGUUGAUGAAUUCCUUCUGGUGGGGUACAAGGCAGGAGGCAUGCUGCUUCA